rnacentral:rRNA from 1 species
UACGUAGGGGGCAAGCGUUGUCCGGAUUUAUUGGGCGUAAAGAGCGUGUAGGCGGCCAAGCAGGUCCGCUGUGAAAACUCGAGGCUCAACCUCGAGACGUCGGUGGAAACCGUUUGGCUAGAGUCCGGAAGAGGAGAGUGGAAUUCCCGGUGUAGCGGUGAAAUGCGCAGAUAUCGGGAAGAACACCCGUGGCGAAGGCGGCUCCCUGGGACGGUACUGACGCUGAGGUGCGAAAGCGUGGGGAGCAAACAGG